GUUAAAGUAAAUAUUCCAUGACACCAUGACUCAGUAUUUCACCAUUUGGUAAAAAUAUAUAAAUCUUACAAAUAAUUUACCCAAACUCUAGACUUCGAGAGCGUGGACUGUGCUUGUGCAAUCCUCUCUCGGUCAUUGUCUAAUGUGGAAGGAGUUGUGCUUGAUGGUUGCAGCCUGUAAUUAGUGAGAUCAGUAAUCAAGACAGCUGUGAUGUAUUUUCCUUCAAGAACUAAAAGAGUGAGGACAUCUGUCUGAGAUGAAUGAAAUGGUCAAAUAUAAAUGAACCUAAAUUUGCUGUGUUGUGUGGUUCUUUUCAGGGAGAAAAGAGAGUAUAUGUCCCUCAUGAGAAUAUUUCUUCAGCAUCAAAAUUGAGUAACGUUUACUUCCUGGCAACAGAAUUUUAUGUCCCAGACAACAGAAGCAUUUAGUCCUCUGAGAGUCUCCAUCCAGAAGCUGACUGAGAGAGAUGCAGAUACCCACAGCCAAACAGUGGACAGAGCUUGGGGACUCUUAUGGAAGAAUAGGAGGAAGAAUUGCUGGCCCUGAAGGAGAUAACUCCAUAGGAAGACCAACAGAGUCAGCUAACCUGGACCCUUCGGGCUUACAGAGACUGCCAUCAACAAAAGAACAUAGAUGGGCUGGACCUAGGCCUCUAUGCUCAUAUAUAGCAGAUGUUUAGCUUGGUCUUCAUGUGAGUCCUAAACAACUGAAACAGGGGCUAUUCCUAAAGCUGUUGCCUGUCUGUGGGAUAUGUUCGGCUAGGUGGGCUGCCUUGUCAGGCCUCAGUGGGAGACGAAGCUCCUAACCUCAGGGAGACUUGAAGUACCUAGGUGAGGGGAAUAUACUCAGGAGGGGACCCUGCCCACUCAAAGGAGAAAGGAAGUGUGAUGUGGGAGGGGUUGUGGGAGGGGAUUCCUGGGAUACAAGUCAGGGAGUGGGAUGUAGAGUGAAUAAGUAAAAAAAUUAAAUUAAAUUAAAUUAAAAUACGAAU
rnacentral:lncRNA from 1 species